rnacentral:lncRNA from 1 species
AGACAAAAUAAGCUCUAUAUUAUGAUAAAUAUUACACCUGUGAAGUUGCUUAAAGACGCUCUUAAAAAACUAUCUCCAAUUUGGAUCAAAUUACAAUUGAGCAUUGACAAAACUCUCAAAAUUCUCAUUCUUGUUUUACCAUAUGCGUUUCUAAAGAUUCUUUAGAAAAGAAGUAUCUUCCUCAAUACUCAAAAUAACCUCAGAAGCUACAAUCUACAAAGCUUCAACCUCCAUGAUAUCUACAAAACAUCUCCACCUAAUGCACUCAAAUCUAUAAUAGGUGCAUACUACUAUCUCCACCAUCACGAAAUCUUAGGCCUUAAAAAGCCUACUUUGUAGCAAUAGACAUUGAAAAAUUUCUAGCUUCACAUAAUCUCGAUUUCAAUAUGCUAUGUUGAUUUGUACCUUUCAUUUCUAAUAUUUAAUUAUAACUUCAACUUUGAUAAAUUCUCCACUAUCUUUGGUGCACCAAAAUACCUACAAAUGUGCAUGGAGAAGUUUGAAGACAACUUGGACUCUAUUAAGCUCGGCUUGAGCAAGUAGAAAUACUGCAUUGACAAUAUGGAAUUCCUCAUAGAGUAGUUGUAGAAGAAGUUGGACCAUAGGAAAGGUAAGAUUGAUCUUCCAAAUUCAUGCUCCUCCAUGCACAAAAUGCAAUAAUAAUACCAAUUAUAUCACCUGUUGCAAGGAAAAGGCUAGUAAUGUAUAGUGCAUAAUUUAUAAUGUAUAUAAUGCACAAUUUGAAAUAGAUAAUUUUGUAUGAAGACUACUAUGAGUUAUUUUAUUAUGAGUGAAGACUACUUAUAGCUAAAAAACAAAGAACUAGAGACUCAAAAUAUAUUAAAACAGUUAUUGAAGGUAUUUCUUAGUAAGAGUAUUUAGCACAAAUAUCAAAAAUACCUAGUUAAUAUACUUUGCUUGAUUUUUGAUAAAAAAAAGUUUGAAUUAACUUUAUUUUUUUGCUUCACUUUUGACAAAAACAAUGAGGCAUGUAGCCACAUGUAAAACAGGUUGUAAACUCUACAAAAUAUGAACUUUUUUGAUGAAAAUUAAGAAAGAUGCAUGUGGUCAAGGAUAGCCACCACUUAUUUCCUUGAGUGAUCUUUAUAUAUAUAUAUAUAUAUAUAUAUAUAUAUAAUGAUAAUUUUUGAAUAUUUAUAUUUUAUUUAUUAUUUUAUAAUUAUUAUAAUAAUUAAAAUCUACUUUAUAUAAAAACCUAUUUGGUUGGAAAUCUCUUCUUUUAUCUUUUUUUUUUAUAUUUAUCUUUUAUCUUUAUCUUUAUCAUUUUUUAACAUUAUCUACUUAAAAUUUUAUUGUAUUUUUUUUUUUAAUGUUUAUCUAAUGAUUUAAAUAUAUUUUAACUUUUAUUUUUUAGAAAUAUAUUAAACUUAAAACAGCUUACAUAUACACAAGAUUCUCAUUUUUGAGAUAUUUUAAUUACAAAAAGUUAUUGAUGGAAAAUUAAAGUACAGUCAAUCAAACAAGAAGUGAUCAAUUAAUACCUGAUUCGGCACCUUUCUUGCUAAGAGUUUGGAUAGAGAUCCUACAAAACAAGUUUGAUGGGUGACUAAUAAAUUGUACUUAUUCAAUUUUGUUUUAGAAUUUCUUAUUGUUAAAGUUUGGACUUUUUCUUCUCAUAACCAUUCAAAAUAUCAAAUUUACACACACAUCUUAGCUUUGAAUGAUUCUUUUCAAAUCCAUCAAAGGUUGUAGGGAUUUAUUUAUAAAGGUAUUGAAAUUGAAUGAAUUAAUUUGAUUCAAAAUAGUUGGUGUUGGAAGCAAUGAUUGAAGAUGAGAACCCACCUUAAUAAUGUUGGCUAGUUGAAGCUUUCAAAUUGCAACAUUGUUGGUGUUGUCAAGGACUAUUCUUGAUGUUGUGAAGUACCACCACCCUUGGUGUUGUCUUCUGAACCCAUUACUAUUUUUGUAUAUACAUACUAUACAUACUUUAAAAACAUAUGAGAAAGUAUCUGCUAGUUCAUUUUGAGCUGGAAUUGAAUUUCAUUCAAAUGUCCUCAAGGUAGAUUAACAUUACAAACCUUGGCACUCUCUUUGUUAAUGCCAAAAGAUAGUUAUAAGAAAUGAACGACUUUAGUGUAAUGUAAUCAAAGAUAUAUACAUUUAUUUCUAACAAGCAUAUUACCUGUAUAAUAAUAAAAAUAAUAAUUACAAAGAAAAACCUUCUAUUCUUCAAGAUUUACGUAUUGAAUGAACAAGCUCCUACAAGCAUUUUCAAUACCAUCCAUUUUUUUCUUAAUUUGUCUUUUAUAAUUCUUGAAGUCCUUCCAUCAUAACAUACUACAUCAUAUUCCACUGUUUCAUUUCAAUAUAGUCAAUCUUCUUCAUGUCUCCACUCCCACUACAUUAAAUUAACCAAUGUGUCAAAACAUCAAAUCAUGCCCUUGAUGCAACCCCUAUGAACAAUAAAUCCAAAAAGUUCCAAUUCACAAAACAUCAAAACCAACAACAAAAUCAUUAAAAAGUGUAUAUUUGGAUGCUUAGUGGAAUGAGCAAAGGCAAUCAUCCAGACCCAUACAAAUGACUUGCCAAAAACAGGGUCCCCACCUCAAUCAAUCUCAACCCUAAACCUGCCGAAACCCUAAAAAAACUGAGACCGCAGACCUAGUCAUAACACUGGGUGGGCAGCCCGCCAGGGGACCUUUCGCCGACAGGGCUCUUUUUAUGAUACAAGCUUGCAGAAACCGAAUCAUGGACCAGAGAGAAAGAUCGACAUAAAUUGGGUGCCUGCAACUCCAAAUGAAACAACAGCACUCCAUGAUUCUCAACGUUGGAGGGCCAGUCAUUAACUUGGAGAAUCGUCUAGUUCACGGUUUUCUACACGGAUCUGGCACUUGCGGUAUAGACUGGAACCAGCUAAGGUUUUGAGGUUCAGUGGACAGUGCCGUUGCGUGGGUUAGAUUGGUCACGGUACUGAGCAAGAUCCUGCAGUAGAUCACAUCGACAUGGUGUGAGGGUGGUGGAAUAAUCUAGAUGAUGAAACGGAGAAGAUGAGUUCUUAGCAUCGAAGGGUUAGCUGACCUGUGUCAACGCGUAGACACCCUGAACUGUUGGUCCCACUGGACUUCCUCGCCGGAGGAAUUUUGAGUCUUGCAAAGUGUAGAGCAUGGGAAUGCCGGUUGAGAGCUCGAGCUCGAUCACUUCCUUGGAUGUGAGCUUGUCUAAGUACAUGAUGAUGGCGCGCAAGGAAUUGCCGUGCGCUGCGAUCAUUAUGUUCUUCCCAGAUUCCAGCUCUGGGACCACCUGCUCACACAGCAUCACCCAUCGGUGGGGUUUAGGAAACCGUGCUAUAAGUCUAACAAAGGUAACGUCAGGGGAAUGUUUAGAGGUGAAGGGUAGUUGCUAAAAACUGCAGUGGAGAGUGAGAGAUCAGCUCUAGAGUUUUUGAAGAGAUGGAGAAUGUUUUGGAUUUAUCUUACGUUGUCCACGAAGUACUUGACGGCGCGCUCUGCACACAUCUCGAGGCUCUCCCCAUUGGGUGGAGGGAUAUCAUAGCUUCGGCGCCACUCUUUGACUUUCUCAGUGCCGAAUUUCUCAGCUGUUUCUGCCUUGUUCAAUCCUUGUAAUUCACCGUACCUGCAUGCGAGGAAAGAGCGUGUAUGGCUUACUUUAUAUGUUCAAGGCAAGGCUUUGAAAAAAAUUGCAAUUCGUUUUGUUGGGUUGGCAGUGGCAGAAGGAAUGCCAGCAGAUUGGGCUUACCACGCCUACAUUGAAUCGUGAUCAGAAGAAUAUCAACAGGAUGUAUUCGUAAGAAUCAUACAACUAGUUUGAGAAGGAUACCAGUACAAUCAACAGGGUCUCUACGAAAACUGUGAAUACUCCCAAAUCGCAUUACGGUGUUUGCUCAAGGUUUGUGGAGGUUUUUGCAUAACUUCACAUAAUGGCGAUGGAAGUGGGUGGAGAAGUAAAGGUGAAUGAAUCGAAGAGGUGGACUUACAUGCGCUCAUUAAGCUGCCAUGCGGUGACCACGGGGAUGACAUCGUCUGUAUCGCUGUAUAUUCUACUCCACGCUUCUGCCCUCUCACUUUCGUUGUGAAGAAUCACUGGCACCUGAAAGAUAUGAACUCCGAAUUAAUUCACAGGCAUGACACCAAACUGAACACAUUCACUCCCACGGCGUUGUAAUGCCAAGCAUACACAUGCGAAUCAUUGAAAGGGCCACAAAAGGCACGGACAACAUUAAGAUGUCUCACCUUCUGGCGAUGGUGCUGCGUCAUGGCGAGCAUAGCAGUCAUCUGAGCCCGAAUCAGCGCAGAGGUGAAGAUCAUAUCCACGGGGAGCUCGCUAAUGCACUUGCCUGCUUCGAUCGCUUCUUCCACGCCCUUCUGAGACAGAGGGACGUCCACACAUCCCGUGAAGAGAUUCUUCGAGUUCCAUAGCGAUUCUCCAUGGCGAAUGAGAAUCAGUGCCGACUCCCCUGCAACCAACACAAACAGCCAAGUGCUCAAACACAUUGUCUAGUAGCUAAGCUGCAGCUGCGUUUCCAACAAACCAAUACCUACACUAAGGCGGAGAUAACAAAGAGGGAAUCGAAACCCACUAUUGCCGCUUGGAGUCGCAAUACCAUCAGCAAUGAUAGUUUCGGCAGAUUGUUGCACAGCAGAAGAGGUGAUUCUUCGCCGCUCACGCACAACUCGCAUCGACGACGACGACAACAGCCGCUUAUGAAUCGAACACAAGGCUCCCGACGACUUGAGACUAACCCCGGCAUUGCGGCAGCUACGCCACUGAACAGGGUGAAGUGAACACACACCCUCCGCACGCAACACGGAAGCCGCAGAGGAGGCAGGGCACACAGACGAAGCAACCGCCAUGGUUCAACGUCCCCGAACACUUCGAGGAGUCCGCCAAGCACGAAACGGAAACAGAGAUGAACAAUGUCAAUGGAUUCGCAGGAACCGGCAAUGGACUCAGGCACGCAACUGAAAGGAUUCUCUUUCGGUAUGGGGAGCAUGUGAGGAUCUCGUUGGCCUUUAGCUUGAAGUUGCAUCUGUUUUUCCAGGCACGAGUUGCCCUGCAGGAAUACCGGCUGCCGCGACCUUUUGGUGAGACUCCAUGGGUCCAUCCUAUUCCAUUCCUUUUACGCCAUUUCUUUCUAAUUUCCUGCUUAUUUAUUCAAGUUUCCUGUUUUUCCCUUCCAUCACUGAAAUGCCUGGAAUUUGGAAAAGCAGAGCGGAUUGGGGCCAGAAUAGAAAAGAGCUCUGGUAUCUUUAUCUUUGUCUCCCUCAAGUCUUGAAUGAUGGCUGGGUUGGGGUCAUCCUCUGUGAGCUGCAACGAGUGGUCGAGGUCGUGCUUUCCCACUGCUUCGAAUUUUGUUGGGGAGAUCGUCACUAAUUGGGCGACAAAGGAAUGGGAAUUGUUCAGCUUGAACCACCUUUUCCCUUAAAAGAAUCAGUCGGAUGAACUGUUGUCCCGUUAUUUCUUAAUCGCUAGUACUUUAUCGAUGAUUACUGGUGUUUCGAGAACCGGGGGUGUCUUGAGUGAAGCUCUGGAGGUUGGCAGCGCUAGAUCUGGUGGCCCACAAUCGCCACCUGGGACCCACCAUCUUUCCAUCCUCUGAUGGGUAUGAAGCGUCGGCGUUUGAAAUUGGAUCCCAAGUUGCGACCUCGGUUGUGUGGAGCCGGAUAACGUCCCAGCGAUUAGGGUUCACGCGCGUCGGGACAGAUCCUUACAGAAUUCCCUGAUUUGGAAUUGGGUUCCUCAGCGUCGGUACGAAUCAAAGCAUGCAAAUUGGCCUCUAGUUACUUAACAGGGUUUCUUCGUCUUCUUCUUCUUCUUCUUCUUCUUCUGUUUUGUUUUGUUAGCGAGAGUUGAACAUCACAGUAUGCUGGACAUCUUAGCUAUGGCUGGAAAGGUCACCACAAUUUUUUUUCCAUAAACGUAGCUACCUCAUCGGGCAGAUCGCUUGUUGAGCCGAAUUGUUUCAGAAGAGAAUCGAUCUUUAGUAUCAAAAGCAAUGUCUCUCGAGCAUGAAACUGUUGGCUUCCUUUCUGAGCGGCUUUUUGGGUUGUUAACAAGAGCUCCAGACUAUGGCCCUCUGUUCUUUGAAUAUCAAAUGUACAUGGAUUGAAACGAAUUUCCUACGACUUUCUUGAGGGCAGAUCAAAGACUUGUACUCAUCUCGUGGAGAAGUAGGGUUUCGACCGGCUUUCGAUUCGUGGACUUCAUAUUUGUUGCACGAAUUGUGAUCUACCACCACAGUUACAGAGCGGGUUAUGCGAUGUCGACAGCCCAUUAGGCAUUGUCCUUUGAACUCAAACAGUCUUGCGUUAGAAACCUGCUCAUGAAGUGAUAUUCAACCAGCCCAGGCGGUUAACGAACGCAAAACCGACCAAGAUAUGAAGACACAAAUCCUUCACUGAUUUCUCUUAUUUCGAAUCAUCUUGCCCAUCCCCAAAUGGAUCAUUGUUGUAAGCCAAGACUUCAAGCCUGGCAAGAGAUAAUUCUAUGCAGAGGCAUUGCACCGCAUUACAUUGUCAUCGAUUUCGGAGCCUUUGUCAAAAACCUCUUGCAGCUCUUUGAACACUCCAAGUAAAGUAACCUUGGAAGAUGUAAUUGAACAAUUGAGAUCAACACAAACUACAGCAGAUUGGACAUGACCUUCAAGUCUAAUUCGAGCUUUUUUGCGCGACUAUCGUUCGCAUCAAUCUUCUGCUCUACAUUCUGCAACUGUUGCUGAGUGUCUUGAACCUGAACGAAAGGAUCUCAACGAUUAGUUAUGAAUCCAGAGGCGAAAUGGUACUGUGUAAUACUUAUCGGAGAGAUGCGAUGCAGGAGAGAAUAACCUCUCUUUCCAUAGCUCGGAGCGUGUUCUCCAGCUCCCGGAUGCGUGCAUCGCGCGACCCAACAGUUACACUAAGGGUAGAAUCGGUUAAUUCUAGCUUUCGUUGCACUUCCAAUAUCUCCAUUUCUCGACUCUGGUUAUCAUCACAUGUUGAUAUCUUAACCACACACGCACAGGAAUGCUAAUAUAGUUGAGAAUGCGAUAUUGGCUCUCUGGAGGACCUGCAGCUUGUGCCAUUUCAUGCAGGCAAAAUAUGAUUAUGAUGGUUUUCGUUGUGUGCUUAGAAACACGGUAACACAGUUGUGAAAAUCUCUUGGUCCUGCCUUUCUUACCAGGCAAGUGCUCUCAAGAUUUGCAAACUGCUUGUCACGAUCUUGCAGCAGCUUGCGCAAUGAUCCCGCAAUUUCGAAAGCGCUUUCGAGCAUCUCCUGAGAUUCACCAGGCAUUCCCUCCAGCCUCUCUGCUGUAUUUAUCAGUGCCUGCAUGCAUUUCUCAAGCUUCAGCUGCACGUAGGAUUGGAUUAUUUGCUGCAAUCUGAAAGUAUGAGCUCAUGCUGUCGCAGAACCUAAUCCGGUAGCCUCAUGCUCAAUGCAAUCGACAGCGCGAGUUAUGGUUGGGUACACUAUUUCCUGAUAGCUUAUGGAUCAGCCCUAAGAGUACAGGUGACGAAAGCCAUCCACCUGCUUGUAGGAGUCAAUCUGUUUCGUUUUCUCAGCGAGUUGAGCGCGAUGUUCGUGCAGAACUCGCAUCAAAUUUUGCAUCUCCAGAGUGCUGUUGACAUCUCCUUCGGUGGCUUCAGUAUUCUCUCUCUGAAGGUUUUCCUGCAGAGGGGUUAUUUUUCCGUUUGAUUUUGAGCAUACAUCGUAGGGACUGGUAAGGUUUCUUAGCUUACUGAUGCUCGCAUGACACUUCUCGGCAAAUUCUCGAGGAGGGGACACACAGGUCACGCGCAUACGCUACCUCUCAACAACGCACCCCAUUACCUGCAGUCUUUCGAUUUCUAAUUCAAGCUCCUGCGCGCGACGAUGCUGGAGUUGAAUCUCAUCAACCAUCGACUUCUCGAGAGUGGCACCAUCUUCGAGAGCACGCUGAAGAUGCUCCUUCUGUUUGUCCUUGCUCACUAUGGUAUUCUUCAGGUCCGCAAUCUCCGACGACAUUUUGUCUACGCACUCACCGAGCUGAAGCUUCUCCACGUCCAAACUCACCAUCCCAACCCCUCCACUGUGAACCACCUAUACAACGAAGCGCAGUUCCACAACAUCAGAAACAUGAGCUGGGCCGCACCACCAUCCAACCCUCUGCGCAGUGCACCCGAAUGUCCACAUUCUUCACCCCAAUCUGUCCCAUGUGCUGGAUUGGAAUCAGCUCGCAAGCCUGCCUUGGCAUCUGCCGUGUUAGUCACACAGCGAUACGACUACACCCAAAUCCACCCUCUGCCACGGCGCGUAGAAGCUUCGAGGUCCACCACCUCCGCAUGCACACAUCAUUGGCAGCAUUGCGUGCGACGAAUUACGGGCACCCUGCAGAGUAGCUUUUGGUGGAUCCAAGGCAACAAGAUUUCCAGCUGCCAAACGUCCGAAACGAAAGCUUGAGGAUGGGCGAGGCGUCGGCAAGCGCUGAUCCGUCGCGCUGCCAUGGCUCGGAUUCAACCUGGGCACCUGCUUCGCAAGACAAAGGCAGUUAUAACUGACUCAGAUUGCGUGUCGUCACUCUCGCGGCUCGAUUGAUCAUCGAGACACGACGAAAGCCGUCGUCCACGAUCACGCGCAAGCGACGUGAAGGCUCUCGCGGGGCGUCGCGGCGGUGACGCCCCGUCAAGUCCGAGUGGUUAUAUCGUCUACUAUGAAUCUUAGGUUUACUGUAUUCUAAUAAUAAUAACAAUAAUAAUAAUCAUAAUAAUAAUAAAUGACGGAUUGAGGAUGUUUAAGGUUUAGGGUUUUCAGUUUUCCACAAAAAUUAAAUAAUUAUUAAUCAAUCAAUAGAGCCCUUGGAUGUGAAGUUUGAGCUUUGGUUUAAGUUUAUUUAUUUAAUUAUUUAUGUUUCUCUUUUUCUUUUAUUUUUUCUUUUUGAAAAGAUACUCUAGAUCUUUGGAGAAUAAAUUUUGGUGUUAAAAAAAAAAAUACAGCACCAACUGUUUUUGAGAAUAUAAUUGUUCUUUUUAACAAGCUGAGUGAUUGAAAUUAUGUUAAAGAUAAAAAAAAAAAAAAAUUAGUAUACACAAAAUUGCAUUUAACUGAGGCUGGUAUUUACUAAAAAAAUGUAUUGUUUUUAGUGCAAGUGGAUUGAUCAUAGAAUUUGGAAUUUUCAAAUGUUAGUAUGGAUUGAUUGUAAAUAUGAUGAUUGUGCCGAGACAUAAAUAGGCUGGAAAACAAUAUGAAAAAAAAGAAAAAGAAAAAGAAAAAAGAAUCUAAACUAAGUCUAUGUUUCAUUUUUCUUUAAUUUGGAUUAGACAUUAAUGUUGAUAUAUAUGUAUAUAUAACUAUAAAACAUCAACUAUGUCUGUAAAACUAUGUCUAUAAAACAUCAACUUAAAUUAUUAUUAUACUUAGAUAAAUUAAUCAAUUAGUUCUCUAACAAUUGAUAGUAAUAAAAUUUAAUAUCUGCCAAUAAUUUUAUUGUUUUUAAUGCAACUUGAAUUUUGAUGCAGCAGCUAGCAUAUGCAAUAAUAAAAUCAAGACUUUAUAUUCACUAAAAAUAAAAUUUCUGUGAUACCUUAUUCAUUCUACACUCAUCACACAUGUAAAAAUAAAAAAUAAGGAAGUAUUUAAAAUUGGAAUCAAAGUUGAUUUUGAAGUUAUAUUUACAAUUACACUGCAAGCCAUAGCUUCUAACUUUCAAAGCCUACAAGUUAGUUCCUGUGAUAUCAAGUAUAGACACAUUGCUUCUAUUUAAGGUUUCAACACAGUACCAUCACAUUUUGAAACCCAAUCACAUCUAAAAGUGCCACAACACUACUAUUCACCAUCUCGAAUGGGUCCAUAUGCUCUUACAAAUAAACUAAAAUGCUAUUCUAAAUAUACGAGAAAUAACACAAGAACCCAUAAAUUUGUCAUAUCAUCAACAAUUCAAAGAAAGUACUCAUUUUGAAGCUCAUGUAACAAGAAAAAAAAAUAUAUGAUGCAAUGUUCACCCAAAAGGGAUGGAAAUCGUCCAUAAAUAGGAUGAAAAAUAGUUUCAUCCAAAUGAUGGGGGGGGGUAAAGGGUGCAUGGGUGAGGGACACAUGACAAAGGAGGGGAUAUGAUGAAACAUGCCAAUGGUGGAGCUUGUGAGGGAAGAGUGAUCUACUCCCCCUUCCCCCCAAGUACCAUGCUCCCCAUAUUCAGUUGCUUAUUCAUCCAUCCAUCCAUCCAUCCUCAAUAUCGCAUGUCGAUCUUUCAUCCACCCAUUGAUGGAUGAACAAUAUGCAUUCAUCCACAUGUGCUUGUCCCCACCCUGUCUUCUAUUUAAUCCCCUUCCUUGCCUCGUCGCUGCGGUGCGCGCUGCUGCGGGGGUUCAUGGUUUUGUGUCCCAGCUGAAUCGACCGACGUCUUCCGGCUUUGAUUUGCUUGGUUCGCAAGUAUGAGUUUAUUGGAAUUCUCUUCGGACCUUCAGAAUUGUGGAACUCAAUUGUGGGUUACGGGAGAAUGUCCUGCACCGUGAUCUGUGUCGAUUCAAUGCAGCAUUGUCUGAAUUUUUCUAGAGUUGCGUCGGUAUUGUGUUUGUGCACACAAAGAUAAUGUGAGAGGGAUGUGGGGGAUUUUUUUUUUUCUGAUGCAGAUUCCAGUUUCCCCUUCGGACAUUGCGAUGGCUUGCAGCUUCGACUUCGUUGUACUUCUCGUCCUCGUGGUACUGACUUCCUCCAAAAUGAUCAGCGGGAAUUAUCUGUUUUAUUAUUAUGUUUGUUUAUUUAUUUUUCGAUCGCUUGAUUGUUUUAAGUGGAUGUACGUGGGACUGGGUUUCUGAGUUGAAUGUUGUUGCACUGAAUUUGCAGGUGUUGGGAAGAGUGCUGGAGGUCGAGGGCCGCCCAAGUGGUACAUGGGGCUGGAUUGCUGACAGCAAUGAGGACAGUGGCCUCCAGCGCCUGACUGUUCCACAGUCGUUGCUUGGCAGUAUCGCGUCUCCUUUGAACGCAGAGGAGACUAACAAGUACUUGAACCAGCUCAACGACCACACUCUGCGCCACCACGGCCAGGACGACGAUUUCUGCAAGGUUGCGAGACUCGAAUGCAAUUCCGACGUAGAAAUCGUGGGAAUGUCCCGCAUCAAUCCCGUCGACCAGGAGUCUUUUGAGCAUAACCGUGAUUCAACGGACAUCAUGCUUGGAAACCAAUUCAACCACAACGACAUCAAUAAGGGCAACGAAAUCGUGUUGCCUGAGAAUCUCCAUGACUCACACCCUAUUGUGCCGUUCCUGCCUCAGUCCCUUUCUGAGAAAUUGCCCUUCUCCAGGUACUCCACCAUUUUGUCGAUGAAUUCCAACAAGCUGAAACUCUUUCGGGUUUAGAAUUUUCCAGUUUGAGGUGAUCACUAGUCAUGACAAUUCAAUGCUCCGUUUCCGACGCAGUGGCAAGAUGCCGGAGCUUUUGGACACUCUCAACAUCCACCGCGGCUCCAACAUGGCGAUGAUGAUGUACCGCACUGUGAGCCAGUGUGAAGCUCGGGAUCAGAGCAAGGAAAGUCGAAAGUGCGUGACCUCGUUGGAGGACAUGCAGAACUUCGUCAGUUCAAGACUGCCUCAAGACAAGCAUAUCACCGCUCUUGAGCGAUCCAGCUCCAUCUCAGGUGAUUCCAUUGCACCUCCUAUAUGAUAACCUUCAACUUCGGACAUGCAGCAAGGUGUUCAUUGUAAUGGCGUUAUUUCAUGUAGUUGAAAGAACGUGGGUAUUCGAACUCAGUAGUCUGGAGGCAUUUCAGGUGCCGUCAGGUCCCACUCAAAGGAUAGCUGGAAGGUGCUCGAUACCAAGCUUCACGAAACAGCCGUGAUCUGCCGCAAGAGCGUGUUCGCCUACGCCGUCUUCGAGUGCCAAGACACCAGCACGAGCAACAUGCACAUCUAUAGCGUCGAGAUGCAAGGUCACGACGGAUCCCGCAGAAGCGAAGUAGCCUCAUGCUCAAAGAACUUCGCCACGACUAGCGUGGAUGCCACGGCACACAAGAGGACCGAGGGACAAUCCUGCCUCUGGGUCACCGAUGCCUUGAUCUGGGCAC